UACGUAGGGAGCUAGCGUUGUCCGGAAUCAUUGGGCGUAAAGAGCGUGUAGACAGUCCGGUAAGUCCGCUGUGAAAGUCGGGGGCUCAACCCUCGAAUGCCGGUGGAUACUGUCGGGCUAGAGUGCGGAAGAGGCGAGUGGAAUUCCUGGUGUAGCAAUGAAAUGCGCAGAUAUCAGGAGGAACACCUAUUGCGAAGGCAGCUCGCUGAGACGUAACUGACACUGAGACGCGAAAGCGUGGGGAGCAAACAGG
rnacentral:rRNA from 1 species